rnacentral:rRNA from 1 species
CCUACGGGAGGCAGCAGUGGGGGAUAUUGCACAAUGGGGGAAACCCUGAUGCAGCGACGCCGCGUGGGUGAAGAAGCGCCUCGGCGCGUAAAGCCCUGUCAGCAGGGAAGAAAAUGACGGUAACUGAAGAAGAAGCCCCGGCGAACUACGUGCCAGCAGCCGCGGUAAUACGUAGGGGGCAAGCGUUAUCCGGAUUUACUGGGUGUAAAGGGGGCGCAGACGGCGAUGCAAGCCAGGAGUGAAAGCCCGGGGCCCAACCCCGGGACUGCUCUUGGAACUGCGUGGCUAGAGUGCAGGAGGGGCAGGCGGAAGUCCUGGAGUAGCGGUGAAAUGCGUAGAUAUCAGGAGGAACACCGGUGGCGAAGGCGGCCUGCUGGACUGCAACUGACGUUGAGGCCCGAAAGCGUGGGGAGCAAACAGGAUUAGAUACCCUUGUAGUC